UUAUUGGAUUGAGGUGAUGAUGUAAAAGCAACAGUAGUAAAACACUUGAUCUUUUGGCCCCGACCAUUUUAACACAACAAUGGUGAGCAUGAGAGGCCUAAGUGAGCAAGAAAGUGGUAACAUGUUGACAUUAGGUCCCCCUGACUCUAAUGAUCCUGCACAGUCAAGGUCCUCAAGUGUGCUCUCCAA